GGGCGUGGGGUGGGGGGAGCGGGGGAGGGUGGGGGCCGGGCCGGGGGGGGCGGGGGCGCGGCUUUGUGGCGGCAGCGGACCGUGGAGGCCGGGUGCAGCCCGUCGGCUCCGCGCGCUCUGCAGAAAAGGAUUUGCUACGCCCCCCGCCCAUCACUUGGAUCUUAUCUGGGGAGGGGUGGGAUUUUUUUCUGGAAGUCUCCCCCCGGCCCCGGUGGAGGAUUUGAGGCUGGGCUCCAAUCGAGGCGGAGGCUGCAGGGCCCGCGGGGCGCCCCCGCCCCGCGCACGCCUCCCCGGAGCCCUGGAAGGCGCAGCCCCGGGGGACCCCCCUGCACCCCGGGAGGUGGCAGCGGCGGGUGCUCAAUGAGUGAAGGAAUGUUCAUUCAUUCAUUCUGUUAUUUGAAUGCCUAUGGUACACGACGGGGCUGUAUGCCGGCCAUGAUCAAUACAGUAACCGACGAGACAGAGCCAGUUCCUACUCUUAAGGGCGGGAGAGGCAAUCAUAAACCAAACACGAACAACAAAACAUUUUAAAUUUGAUUAAAAUAAUGUAAUGAUUGCUAAAAACAACUACAGCCACAGGUCUGAGUAAAUCCUGCUCGCAGCUUCCGGGUUUGUAGACAGCCAGCGUGGAUCUCAAAGCAAAGGCCCAAUUUACGACUGAGGUCGGUCUCAGCAGUGAGCUUAGAAGCAGCAAAGCCAGGAGAAGGCUCCAGAGGAGCUACUGUAUGCGGUUGGCAUAAUCGUCAUAAAUUUUCUAAGCAUUUUCGAGUGCCUGCACUUUCUCUGCUCAUAACGUUAAGAAAAUCGGGUGUGCUCCCAUAUAUCCUGAAGACACGACAGCCCUCAGACCCACCGCCUUCUUUUUAAAGCCUUGUAGCAUGGCACCGUACCCAGCCUGUCCCUCACUGGCUGACGUUUCAGCGACUGCCCAGUGUUCUUCCAAAAGGUUGUAUCAUUCACACGCCCAUCAACGGUGUACGUGCUGUUUCCAGCACCCUCGCCCAACCUGGCAAAGACGCGGUGUGUCAGGGGAAGCAAAUCCUAAAUGAGCUGCGGAGAAACCUGCCAGUAAUUUCAGCAAAUGAAACGUGGGCCGCAGAAAGGCCAGAGGAUGGAAGAUGCUCCGGUUUUGACAAAAGGAGGUCUGCUCAGCUUGGAAUCCUCUCUCCUGUGAGUCAGGAGAUGGAAAGCUAUAUCCAGAGGGGCUGAUGAAUUGAGAGAAAAAAGAAACGAGGCCAGUCCCCUGACUCAGCAGUGACACAUGAAUGAUGCUCCAUAAGUAGUCAUCCCAUGGACCAACCAAUGCCACCGUCACCUCCGACCCGGCCUCCUGCCGAAAUCACAGAAACCCUUUAUAGCCACCCUGACACCCAGUUCCCAUUUCAGACAGGCUGGUAUCCAUGAUGUCACGUGAUAGAAGAUGAUUCCAGAAAAAGACUGGCCAAGAGGCUCCUGGAGGGAGAGAUGGCAGCCAGGAUUGGGAGGUUUUUUUCUUUAUUAUACCUGUUCUGUCCACUAUUUCCUGGCUCUGUUCACAUCGCUGCUCCAGCACCAGCUCAGGGAAAAAAACGAAACAAAACAUGAGCCCCAGAAUUUGAGACAAGAUAGCUGGCUGGUUUCCUCUCUGCUUGUAAUUAAUGCUGGAAAUGUUCAUGACUUGCCUUGGCCGCAAAGGUAAUAAUAAAAGUCUGCAGCCUGAUUAUUUGGCUACUAAUUCCCUUCUUGGUGUUUUUCUUCCCCUUUCCUUAAAUUACUUCCAGAGUUCGUCCAGAUUUCUCGUUGCUAAGCUGUAAAGUUCCGGGCUUCGCAGGGCCCAUGCUGAUUGGCAGGGAGGCCCGGUCAGCUCCAAUCAGAAGCAGGUUGCCGAAAGGAGCAUCCACAUCGCAGCUCGCCCCGGGGUUUUGGAAUUUUCUCGCUGACGUUAUGAACCGCAGAGGUCUUUGUCUAACUCUGCAAAACCUGUUCUCUUGAUCUUGUCUGCCUCUCUCUGGAGCGCAGGCUGUUGGGGGACGCCAGAGGUCCUGGAAUUUCCCCCGGAAGGAUGGGGAGUCC
ensembl:lncRNA